rnacentral:rRNA from 1 species
GCAAGUCGAACGGUAGGAAUCCUUCGGGAUUCUGAGAGUGGCGAACGGGUGAGUAACACGUAGAUGAUCUACCUUUUAGUUGGGGAUAGCCCAUGGAAACAUGGAGUAAUACCGAAUAAUCUCUUUUUGCCUUGGCGAUUAGAGGAAAGCAGCGUUUGCUGUGCUGAAAGAUGAGUCUGCGCACUAUUAGCUAGUUGGUGGGGUAAGAGCCUACCAAGGCGACGAUAGUUAGCCGACCUGAGAGGGUGAUC